AAUCGCUUGAACCCGGGAGGCAGAGGUUGCAGUGAGAUCACACCACUGUACUCCAGCCUGGGUGACAGAGAGAGACUCUGUCUCAAAUUUUAAAAAAUGAAUUGAGUAAAUAUGUUCACCCAAAUUCCAAUUACACCUUGGUUUCAUUUCCACAUUGUAAAUCUUGGCCUUCUCAGUCUUCAGGUUAACUAACAGAAUUCUAGAAAUUAAGAGUAGGCUCCUCUGAGUCUGGAAGAAAAAAUACUUAACAAGGUUAGACCAAAAAUAUUUUCCCUGUCCCCUACAUCUACAAACAAUCAGAUAAUAUUCUAUAUCAUAAAAAAUUCCUAGUAAAUGUUCUAACAAUAUAGACUUUAUAUUUCAGAAUUUCUGCUUUUAAAAAUUAACAUUAAUCUCAAAAAGGUGAAAUUAUGUUUGUGGUCUUAAUAUAUACAUUAAAUUAUCUGUAUUAUGAAAUUUAUACAUAUUUGUAAUUUUACUUUUUAAAAUAAAGGAUCACUUGUUAUGUCUCAUACAUAAAAAGCUAAUGAAACUUAAGAGUCUGAUUUUUUAUUUAACUAAAACCUUUGAGAGUCUAUGGCUAAUUUAAAGUAAUACCAAUGAUUAUUUCAGGAAUUACAUAUAACCCAUUUUAGCAACUAAAAGCAGAUGUACGCUGCUGGCCAAUGGGAAAUGUUUCCUUGCUCCUGUCACGGGAGAUGCUCUCCCUUAUUAUUUUCUGUGGAUGUUGUCAUGUCUGUUUGUAAUAUCUGGAAACCUGCCAGCCAUCAUGGUGCCAGCCAACACUGGGGAGUGCAGAGUGGAAAAUGGAAGAGAAACUGAGCCUCUGAAAAUUUAAUUUUGCGGCCGGGCGCAGUGGCUCACUGUGGUAUUUUAAUUUCUGCUGAGUGUAUCCUAACUGAAUCAAACAACUAAGGGUCAUGGUUCAUACUGGGAACUGGAGAUGCAGAGAUAAAGCUGAUUCCAUCACAGUCAUCAAAACCAGCUCACUGGUGGGGAAUACACACACACACACACACACACACACACACACACACACACACACAGAGAGAAUGUCAUGGCCUAGGUGUUAAUUGUUGUCCUGCAAACUGAACAGAGGCUCUGUAAAAAACAGACACAUCGAAUGCAUCCAAUGCCCGGAGCAAGGAGCGAAGAGAAAUUGCAAGAAUAUACAAAUAGGCAGCAAUCAGAAAAUGGAAAAUUAAACCACAAUUAUCAACAAUCAAAUGCCACUAUAUUACCUAUGAGAGUAAUGAAAAUAUUCUUUAAACUGAUGAUGUCAAGUAUUUUCAAAGAUGUGGAGAAAGCAGAACAUUGAUAUACUGCUGGUGAGAGUAUAAGACGGUUCAUUUGUUUGGAAAACUGUUCAGAAGAAUUUAAACUUACUAAAAAGUUGAACAGAUGUGUAUCCAUGACCACACCCCAGCAAUUCCACUCCCAGUAUAUACAGAAAGAAAUGUGUACACGUGUGCUCCAAAAGACAUGUACAAGUAUGAUCAUAACAGCCCUAUAAGGAAGUUCUGACUUCCCAACACAUUAUUCUUAAGAGCACAUAAUGAAGGAUUUUAGGGGCCAUGCUGGGAUGCGUCUUUUAUGCGGAUCUUGGCUAGUACUACAUGGCUAUGAAGGCUCCUUAAAGGAACUGUGCUAACACUCAAUAAAUCUGUUAUGUCUGAAGUAGGAAUUAAAAGACAAAAAAAAAUGCAACAGAUGGAACUAGAAAAGUGGUCAAGGAUCAAACAAAAUAACCUAAUAGGAUCAUACAAUAUUAAAAAACAGGCUAUUGCAAUACCAAAACAAACAAAAAUACAAUAAAAAAGAAAACUAUUAUAUAAUCUCACUCAUGAGAUGCAAAAAUACUAAAUAAAAUGGCAAAAUGAAAUCAAGCAAUGCAUCAGAAGGAUACUAUGACUAACCUGGAAUAUCCAGGAAUGGGAAAAAGUCAGUGAAUCUAUCAGAAUAAAUUAUCACAUGAACAAAUUAAAUACUAUAGAAGUGCAGAAAAAGAUAGUGAAACGGCAUUUAAUAAAACUCAGGAGGCACCACUACUUAGCUACAACAAAGAUUUUCACUCAUAACUGAGACCAUGAUGCUGCCAUUCCAUCAUAGCUAACAACCAGACAUGGUGACUGAAAUUCUCUUUUGGUUAUAGCAGCAGUUCCCAAUGCAAUUUCACCCACCUACAAAGAUAAUAGGUCAUGGGAAUAAGUAUUUCAACAGUGAAGUUUGCCAUACACCAGUUUAAACAAAGUUCAACCAUUUUCUUCACUAGAAUACUCCUUAGUCUUUUUUUAUUUUUAUUUUUUUGAGACGGAGUCUCGCUCUGUCGCCCAGGCUGGAGUGCAGUGGCGCAAUCUCGGCUCACUGCAAGCUCUGCCUCCCGGGUUCACGCCAUUCUCCUGCCUCAGCCUCCCCGAGUAGCUGGGACCACAGGCGCCCGCCACCACGCCCGGCUAAUUUUUUCUAUUUUUAGUAGAGACGGGGUUUCACCGUGUUAGCCAGGAUGGUCUUGAUCUCCUGACCUCGUGAUCCGCCCGCCUCGGCUUCCCAAAGUUCUGGGAUUACAGGCAUGAGCCACCGCGCCCGGCCGUCUUUUUUUUUUUUUCACUUCUCUUUAGUCUUUUGAUAAGCUGGUGAGGUGCUUUUGCUUGUUCCUUAGGAGGGGAUUUAGUAGAUGCUACUUUAUAAGCUUCUUUAACUGUAAAAUCCUCCUUCAUUGUCAAGUACUAGUAAGCACUGGUGAUUCCUUGAGAUAUAAUUUCAGAAAUGUUGGGAUAAGGCACCAUGUCUACAUUUCUUGGUUAACAGGCAAAUUACUCUGCUUUGUGUUACAGUUGAUUAUUAAGAGUGCAACUGUUGGCUUUUUAUGCCUUUGAAAAAGUGCAAUCAUGUAGAAUGAUGAUCACUAGAUGGUGAAUGACUGACUGAACAGUGAUAUUACGAAUCCCCUAUGUGCACAAAAUAGAGAGGUCAGGUGUAGACCUAUGACAAGGAACCACAGACAUUUAGUUAUCAAUGCAUUAGUUCUGAUGGAACUGACAUUAUUUUCAAAAAGAAAUAAUUUUUAAAAGGGUCGAUUUCUAACUGUGUGAGUAUAUAAACACACACUCUAUUUCUUCAUAACUAACCUGCCUUGAUGCUAGCACUAAAUCAUGACAGGCACCUGGUUGAAAGUGGUUGCAAGAAGCCAUCAAUUUUAAGAUGCAUUGUGAUUUCCAAAUAGUAAAAUAUAGCCAGGCGCAGUGUCUCACACCUGUAAUCCCAACACUUUGGGAGGCUGAGGCAGGUGCAGGAGUUCAAGAUCAGCCUGGACCAACAUGGCAAAACCCCAUCUCUACUAAAAAUACAAGAAUUAGCCAGUAUGGUGGUGCACACCUGUGUAUCCAGCUACUUGGGAGGCU
rnacentral:lncRNA from 1 species